CUGAGGAAGAGGAGACUGAGAGGAGAUAUGAUAGCCGUCUUCAAAUAUUUCAAUUGCUAAAUCCAAUUGAAAUAUUUGAAGACGGCUAUCAUAUCUCCUCUCAGUCUCCUCUUCCUCAGGA